rnacentral:rRNA from 1 species
AUGCAGUCGUACCAUCGCUGGUAUUGAUUGGUGCUUGCAUCACGAUUUACAUUUCAGUGAGUGGCGAACUGGUGAGUAACACGUGGGAAACCUGCCGCGGAGCGGGGGAUAACACGUGGUAACGGAUGCUUAUACUGCGUAACAACUUGUACUGCCUGGCUUGAGUUUGAAAGACGGCUUCGGCUAUCACUUUUGGAUGGUCCCGCGGCGUAUUAGCUAGAUGGUGGGGUAACGGCUCACCAUGGCAAUGAUCCGUAGGCAACCUGAGAGGGUAAUC